rnacentral:rRNA from 1 species
AGUUGCCAUCAUUCAGUUGGGCACUCUAGCGAGACUGCCGGUAUAAACCGGAGGAAGUGGGGAUGACGUCAAAUCAUCAUGCCCCUUAUGACCUGGGCCACACACGUGCUACAAUGGUUGGUACAACGAGUUGCGAGUCGGUGACGGCGAGCUAAUCUCUUAAAGCCAAUCUCAGUUCGGAUUGUAGGCUGCAACUCGCCUACAUGAAGUCGGAAUCGCUAGUAAUCGCGGAUCAGCACGCCGCGGUGAAUACGUUCCCGGGCCUU